UCAACUGAUUCUAGAAUCCAAACCCUAACCAUGCCCCUCCCUCCCCAUUCAACACCUUCUCUCUAAUAAUGGUUGUGUCUGGCUUCUUUGAUGUUGAAACCAUAGUCGGAAAGUUUUUCACUUUUACUGAUUGGAAGUUCGUUGUUCACAAAAUCCCCACACAAUCUCACCACAUUAUGCUUCAAUCCAUCAAGUUCGGUUGUAAUCGUAGAGAUCAACGACGAUAACGGCGGUGACAGAGGAGCAUUGGAUUUCGUGUCGAGUCUACCUAAACAAAAGGGAGUGUGAUUACUUUGCUUUGGCUGCCAGGUUACGAGUCCUAUGUUUUGGCUGCCAGGUUACUUCAGUUGCUAGUUGCAACCGACCACAUAAGCUUGUUUUCUUUAAAAGAUAAAAUGUGUGGUUAGGAUAAUUGCUCACAUGUUUGUUUUGGGAUUAUGUUGAAUUUAAACUUUAACAGUAAAAUUGAUGGCUUGAGUAGUUAUCCUAACUACACAGUAACCACCAGAUCCAGCUUUAAUCUCACCAUAAUCACUUUAUAAUCACUUUGCAAUGCACAGUGCACUAAUUCGUAUAUGAUUUGCAUUAACAUUCAACUUGAACCCCAGUUUUUGAUUGGUUAACUGUCCCUGUCUCCCUACCCGACCUUACUUGCUCUUUUGCCUGGCUUACAUUCAAGAGUUAGGAUUAGAUAAUUUUCUGCAACAAAGUGAUUAAAGGUAGAGAUAGGUAUUUUUACAAUUAAAUUCAGAAUUAAUUUCUUUCUAGAAGUUUCUUACGUGUUGGAUUUCAUUCGAAUUUGCAGCGGAUAAAUGAGAGUAUUGCAUAUCAGAAUUCAUGAUGAUGAACGAUUUAGAAAACUCAAAUAUGAAUGUGAUAAGUGAGAACGAUUGAACACAAGAGAAUGGACAGAAAACUUAUGGAAAUAAUCUGUCUUGGUACCGGACAAGUCAUAUAUAUACAUUAGAUUAUGGCGGUUAAUUUUUGGCGGCAAUAACUGUCAAAUGACAGUUUAAACAUUACCCGCUAAUGUUCUUGAUCCGCACAUAAUACUUGACCCAUACAUAAUACAUAAUACGAAUGUAACAUACUUAAUACAUAACCAUAAUAAUAAUAAAGUUUAAUUAACUUGACUAACACCCUCCCGUAAACUUGAUUAUGGUUUCAUCAUGACACUCUUGUUGGCUUCAUCGACCGUUUUUCGUGCUUCACUGAAGUUGAAUCUACGCCUUUUCUUGUGAAUAUUCCAUGACCCAUUCCAACUGUUUCUUGUGAACAAAGCAUAAUGCUCAGUUGCACUAUCAUUCGGUGAUAAAUCAGCAUCAGCACUUUUGCUUUUUCUUGAUCUUUCGUAUCCAGCCAUGGUGGUUCCUUCUUGUUCCAGCAUUUCCUUGUCUUGUGCCUUCUUUUGUACCGACUUGAACUUGUAAUAAAAUACUAGAACAUCUAAAUACAUCGCAUAGAUAAUUCUAAUAAAAUCCCCAUCUUGAUAUUCGAAACCAAGAUCUUUUGCUAUAGCUGGCCAUAAAUUAUCCAUUGUGACACCUUGAUAGCCUCCAUCCUUUUCGACCAUAAUGUACAGACUAAGCAAAUCUAUCUUCCUUCCAUCAUCGAACUGUGGUGGUAUUGCUCGUGAAGUUAUUUCCAUCUUUUCUUUUAAGAACCAACCCACCAUAGUUUCAAAUUUUAUCUCUGAAUCAUGCUUGUACUUAAACACGAAAUCCCGAUCAUCAAUCAUAUCUAACAGAGCUUGACAGUCAGAGAAUUCUUUGAAUUCUAACGCCCUUAUGAUCAUAAGACUCCAAUCAAAUUCAUAUUCAUUCGAAACAUUUAAUGUUUCGAAGUAUGAAUUUAAGUAGUCUUGUUUAUAUCUUUCGUUCACAUCGUUCAGGUUUAAGACUUUCUGUCUUUCUUUCAGCCCUAAUUCUUCUUCUUUUGACAAACUAGAAACAUCACUUAUGGUGUUUAACACGGGUGUAGAAAACAUCGGGUAGAUUCUACAAGUAUCACCGCUUUUCUUGACAGUGAAACCUUGUAACGUUAAUUGAUUCAUGCUUAGAACAUUUCUGUUCAAUUCGGGGGUAUAAAAAACACUUUGUAUCUUUACAGUUUCGUUGUUAGAUUUAACAUCUACAUUCCCUAUACCCCGGAUGAACAAGAAAUCAUUUUCACCGUUUUUCGUAUCAACACCAAUUAAAUGCUUAAUCCUUUUAAAGACAUUAAUAUUACCGGCGUAAUGAUGAGAGAACGAGUAACUGACAUACCAUAUGUCAUUCCACUGGCCACCAUCCGUGCCAGUAACGAUCAUUUCACCCCGAUCUCCUGCAUCUAUCCCUUGUUUUUGGAUUCCGGUGUUAACCGCUUGAUUAACUAAUUGUGUUGCUUCGUCGUUUUCUUUUGAUUUGCAGCAAUAAAUCUGAUGCCCUGGCCGGUGACAAUAGAAACAUAAUUUCACCCUUCGUUUGUUUUUCACUCCUUCAUGUUGUUCGUCAUUACAGUGUUGGCAUGGUAGUGUUGUAGAAGAUAUUCUGAUUUCUGCAGGGAUUCUUGAUGCGGCUCUGAUACCACUUUGUUGGAUUUCAUUCGAAUUUGCAGCGGAUAAAUGAGAGUAUUGCAUAUCAGAAUUCAUGAUGAUGAACGAUUUAGAAAACUCGAAUAUGAAUGUGAUAAGUGAGAACGAUUGAACACAAGAGAAUGGACAGACAACUUGUGGAAAUAAUCUGUCUUGGUACCGGACUUGGUUACCGGACAAGUCAUAUAUAUACAUUAGAUUAUGGCGGUUAAUUUUUGGCGGCAAUAACUGUCAAAUGACAGUUUAAACAUUACCCGCUAAUGUUCUUGAUCCGCACAUAAUACUUGACCCACACAUAAUACAUAAUACGAAUGUAACAUACUUAAUACAUAACCAUAAUAAUAAUAAAGUUUAAUUAACUUGACUAACAUUACGUGCUUCUUAAUUUUUGGCUAUUUUGACUCUAAAAGAUAAGAAAUAUUGGAGUUUCGUCCCUUUUAGACCUGGCAAACGGGUCGGGUCAUGUGUCAAAACGGGUUCGGGUCAAAACGGGUCAAUUAAAAAAGUGUUGUUUUGGUUCGGGUCGAAACUGGUUUGGGUCGGAAUGGGUUCGGGUCAGAACGGGUUUCGGGUCGGGUUGGUUAAAAAAUGUUUUUUUUUCAGCCCAAGAUUGCAACCAAUGGUGGAUUAUUUGAUUGUUCUUGGGAGAUUACUGGAGAAGAAGCAGAGUUAUUCAGGGAAAAACGGACUUGCUCGCAGGUUGAAGAAGAUGCUUGUCGAACUUAACGAAUAUGAUGAUCAUGCCCGUCACAUUUCUAGAACCUUCAAUUUAAAAGAAGCUCUUUAGUUUCUGCCUUGUCACACAACUGCUCAGUAUUUGGGGUGAUAUGCUGCAUACUAUAGAAGAUCAAGUCUUUUUUACUUAUGCUUGACGAGAUGAGUUUCCUGCACUCCCAGUAGUAGUUGCUGAUUAUUUCGUACCUCAGGUAUGUGCUCACAUGUCAUAGUAUUUCAGUUGAAGCUCUAGUAUAAAAAUCAACCACAUAAAUAAAAUCUAUUGUAAACGUCAAAGUUUCGUAUUAGUACACAUAAUCUUAUUCUGUUAUAGUUGUAUACCUGGUUAAAGCUCUCCCGACUUCAAACAUAACCUGUUAUUUAUGUAUCAAUUUAUUGUUUAACCGUUAUGAGCCUCUUUUCAUAUGGCUUUAUUGACAGACCAUUGAAGCCAUAUUUCCCUUUUACUGGCCCAAACUAAAUAAUUCAGCUCAGUUUGCAUCUUAUAUGGUUUUUAACUGUCACUUGAAUAUAGUGUACUUCAAGAAAGCCUAUAAACACUUUGACCAUUCAUUUUGAGUGUGUGACAAAAAAGACUAUCUUAUGUUGAUCUUAUGUAAAUAUUUGUCUCUUCAUUGUAAAGUGUUCUCGACUUUGAUCUUGGUUCCUUUUUGACCAUUGAAGAAGGUAUCUUUGUACUCAAAGCUAAACCUGGUGACACUCAUCUUGGUGGUGAGGAUUUUGACAACAUAAUGGUUAAAGAAUGAAGUUUCUAGCUUUCAUUCAAAAAAUUGUUUGUUGUGUUUCAAAUGUUUGAUAUUUAGAAUUAGUUUUGACUCUUUAGAAAUUUGUUUGUAAACCUUUGCAAUGUUUGGAAGACAGAUUCAAUUUUUAAUUGAA